UGAUGUUCUUAGAAUCUUGGAAGAGAGAUACUGUGGUGGUCCCUUUUAUUGGCGUGUCCUUGACUUCAUGAUCAUCCUUCCCAGCCUCCCUAUGCUAAUCACUCCUUUAGCAUCAAACUUCCGGCAGCUAUACUGGUGAUUGCCUUCCAAGGACCAAGAUUGGAGAGAGAGCAGAGGAAAGGUGACUUUCUUAUGCAUAUUCCUGCUCUGACAGCUUGGAUAUCAUUGAAUCCCGUGGAAUCUAGAGAUAUAUUCUGGCCAACCUCUCAGCUGCAGCCAAAUUCUUGUUCAUACCAUACUUG
rnacentral:sRNA from 1 species